rnacentral:rRNA from 1 species
UACGUAGGGUGCGAGCGUUGUCCGGAUUUAUUGGGCGUAAAGAGCGUGUAGGCGGCCUGACAGGUCUGCUGUGAAAACUCGAGGCUCAACCUCGAGAUGUCGGCGGAAACCGUCUGGCUAGAGUCCGGAAGAGGAGAGUGGAAUUCCUGGUGUAGCGGUGAAAUGCGCAGAUAUCAGGAAGAACACCUAUGGCGAAGGCAGCUCUCUGGGACGGUACUGACGCUGAGACGCGAAAGCGUGGGGAGCGAACAGG